CUAAGAGAGAUGGCUCAGAGGUUAAGAGCACUUGCUGCUUGGUUGGGUUCCUAGCAGCUAUGUAGGUUGGUCAUUCUAGUUCCAGGAGAUCCAAUAUCUUCCUCUUGUUUCUGUGGGCAACUGCACACACAUAUUGCACAGAAACUCACAUAGGGAUAUAGCAUACACAUAAGUAAAAUAAAUCUAUUUUAAAAUUUGCUAAGAGCCAGGUAUGGUGGUGCACACUUUAAAUCCCAGGACUCAGGAGGCAGAGGGUGGUCCAGUGGUCUACACAUUAGUUCUAGGACAGCCAGGGCACAAUGUAGAAAGAGCCUAUCUAUAAAACAAAAAACAAAACAAAAAAAGAAACAAACCAAAAAAAAAAAAAUCCCCCCAAAACAACAAAAACUCAAUAAACUAACAAAUAAAUAAAACAUAAAAAGCUGCCAGGCACAGUGGAUCACAUCUUUAAUCCUAGCAUUCAGGUGGCAGAUCUCUGUGAAUUUGAGGCCAGCCUGGUCUACACAGAGGGUUCUAGGCUAAUCAGAGUAACUUACAAAAUUUUGUUUAAAAAAAAAAGGGGGGGAGAUGGGGGAGGCUGGAGAGAUGGCUCAGUGGUUAAGAGCACUCACUGGUUGCUCCUCCUAGAGGUCCUGAGUUCAAUUCCCAGCAACCACAUGGUGGCUCACAACCAUCUAUAGUGAGAGCUGGUGCCCUCUUUUGACCUGCAGCCAUGUAUGCAGCCAGAAUGCUGUACACAUAAUAAAUAAAUCUUAAACAAACAAAAAAAGGGAGGGGGAAUUUAUUAAAGUACUUACGCCAGUGUCAUGUUGUUGCUAGGAUCAAGACCAACUUCUAUAACAGUGGUACCUUCAAUGUCCACUUCUUUGCAGGGAGUUGUAUUUCGCCCAGUUACUCUACAGGCCUGAUAGAAUCCAUGUGGUUUUACUCGACCAGAAUCAUUGCCCACAAAUACCUGCAACACCACUGGUUCAUUAUGGCCUUCCAGCUGGAAACAGAUAACAUGCAUCAUAAACACUAGUUAGCAUUUCAAAUAAACUCAUUAUGAACUAGACAUUCAAAAUCAAAUAAUGUAUUUAAAACUGAAUGGAGAAAUAAUUUAAGCAUAAAGGAAAAUAGGUAAAACUUUCCUUUUCCUUCCUCUCUUUUUUUUUGUGACUGAACCUAGGAGCUCACAAAUGCUAGGCUAGUACUCCACCCAAGCCACACACCCAGCCCAAACAUUUUCUUAUAAAGAAAAACUGAAGUCAGAAUCACAGCAGAGGCAGGUAGGUGGAUCUCUGUGAGUUACAUGACUUUAUAGAGGCCUGCCUCAAAAAAACAAAACAAAAAACCAAACCAAAACAAAAACCAAAACUAUAAAGAAUGAAAAAUAAGUGAGGGAUGGGGAACACUGGAGAGAUGGCUCAAUUAAAGGCUAGCUUCAAAACAAAAAUUAAAUAAAAACUGGGUCUUUACAAAAAACUACUGUAUUAGUACUACAAUAACUACAUUUUAAUUAUUUAGAUGUGCUAAUGCUAAACUGUCAAAUAACCUAUUUGCAUAAGUUGGGAAUGGAUACACAAUUGCCCAGACAGUAUAUAGAUUAUUCAGGAUCUGCUACCACCACUGCAUUGUAUUAAUGGCAACAUCUUCAUCAUCAAUGAGAAUAUAUGUGAUAAAUUUUACUACUUAAGCAGUUUGAGGGAAGUAUUUGAAAGGCGGCCAAACAAAUGACAGGAAAAUGGAGUUCAAAGACUGAAUCAUUAAAUCCUAGGCCAGAACAUCAUCUAUGAUAAGAAGUGUUUGCUUAAAGUAAGAUAUGUGAUCAUUAUACACCUCUAACAAAACUCUCAUAAAUAAAUGAUAGUUCAUAUUCAGAAUAAUAGUUGUAAUAGAAAAUGCAUCUUACAAUAAACACACUGAAGCUGUUGAUAAAGGAUACAAAAAAAUUAUAAAAGUCAAUCUUUUCUAUUCCAUUAUAUUAGCAUAGUGCAGAGAUUAUCAUAAUCAGGCAAAUAAUUAAAGAAAUAAGGAAGUGUAUAUCUAUUGUGAUGUCUUCUACAAAUGGAUUAUGUAAUAGUUUAGCAGAGAAUAUGUAAAGUUCUAAUGGAAUGUAGUUACUACAGAACUAGUUGGCAAUACCUGGACCGGUCUCAGCACUUGAAAGGGAAUAAGUGUCUGCUGAGUGAAUGAACAAAUGAACUGUUGAGGGCAGUCAUUUUCAUUCCCUAUCACAGUCAGGCAAUUAAUCAAUAAUUAAUAUAUAUAUAAAUAAAUAUGUAAGUACUUAGACCAAGCACAACAUAAAGGCAGGUAAUCAGAUGAAAAAUACUGACUAAACUAUGAAAAUAUCCAGCUAAAUAUACACAAAACAAAACCUGAAUUUCUCUCUUGCCUGGUACUUAUCUUGAGGUUGUUACUGGAUUUGAGGGAUUGGUUGCAGAUGGAUUAGUGUGGUAAGACAGGAACAAAUGCUCAAAGACACAUUUCCCAAUCCCGAGUUUCAAUCAUGAUUUCAUUUAAGUAUGAAAUGAAUGGCAGUUCAUGUUUGUUUGGUUUUUUUCUAUUUUCAAACAAUAAUAUUCUUUAUAAUAAAAGUACCAAGUGAUAAAUUUUUACUUUAAGUCAGAGUUCUGAAAAGGUAAUUCUGAUAAUUUUAAGAAUCUUAUUUUCUGAGCUGAGCAGCAGUGACACACACCUUUAAUCCCAGUGCUUGGGAGGCAGAGGCAGGUGAAUUUCUGAGUUUGAGGCCAGCCUGGUCCACAGAGUGAGUUCCAGGACAGCCAGAGCUAUACCAAGAAACACUGUCAAAAACCAAGAGGAAAAAAAACCCUUAUUUCCAUGUUCUUAUGUUUUCAGACAAGUGCUCACCAUAUAGUUCUGUCUGUCCUGGAACUCUCUAUGCUUGCUAUGAAGACUAUGAUUGGCCUCUAAUUUAUAUUAGAGCUGCCAGUCUCUGCCUCCUAAAUGCUGGAGUUAAAAGAAUGUGCUACCAUGCCUGGUGAAGUUCAUAAUAAUUUCUACUAUUUUUUUGCAUUUACUUUAAAAUUUCUUCUUAAUAAUGCAUUUUUGGAUGAAUCUACUAUCACUAUUAAACAAAGGAGGAAGAUAACUAAUGACCUGCAGAUAUUUUUUUUCUUUUCAGAACAUACUCACAUCUCUCAAACCAAAAUUUACCCAGGCAUGCUGGCUCACAUCUAUAAUUCAAGCACUCAGGAGACAGGAGGCUUGCCUUGAAUUCAAGACUGGCGUGGACAACAUAUUGAGUUCCUGGUCAGCCUGAGUUAUAGUGAAACAUAAUCUCAGAAAGACAAAAUCAACCAGAUAAAUAAAAAAUUCAAAUGUUAUCUAAGUACUACUUGGCUUAUGGCCCAAUUAGACAUUUGUUUUUUUAUUAUAUAACUAAUACUUCUACCCUUCUAUUUCAGGAAGCUUUUCCUGAGCUUAAAAUAAUUAGUAAAAUUGAAGGAAAUUCAUCACAUAGAUAAGUAUUAUUUUUACAUGUAUUUGAUGGUUUUGCAUGAGAAACAUGUAUGUGGGGCAUGUGUGUGCCAUGGUGUGGUUGUGUGGUGGUCAGGAUAACCAUGUAGAGCCAGUUCUCUUCUCCCACCAUUGACCAGAUCCUGGGGAUAAACCUUCACCUCAAAGUCACCUCAUGGGCCAGUCUUCACAUACUACUAAAUAAAAUGAUUACCUUCACCGUAGGAAAGCCUUGCUGUGUUCUGUCUUUUACAGAGCCUCGGCUGCCCUCUGUCAGGUACCGGGCUCGGUGUUGGGUUUCAGGCUGUACCACUAUCUUCAGCUCCUUCCCCUCACUUUUAACCGGAUACUGUCCGCACAACAUAGGGCUCUUCUUUACUCCAGUUCCCUUUUGGCUGUCCAAUGUUCUGAGAAUCCAAAGCACAACAUGAAGGAAAUAUCAAAAACAGUCUUCUAUAAAAGCUAUCUUAGAUAAAGGAAGAAACAGAAAGGUAAUAACACUGAAAACAACUGCUUAACUUAUGGAUAAAACACAGCCUAAAGUAUCUUUAAAAUAUUUUUGACCCAAGUGUAACUACACGCCAUGAAAGAGAAAGCUGGACAGGAAAGAAAAAUUAUAGUUGGGUGGCAGGAGAAAGACAGUGUAAUAAGUAUUAUUUCUUCACUGCAAUUCAGUUAAAAUAAAGUGUAAAAAUUAUACAUAUCAGUCACAUAAAGCUAAAAGACUAAUCAUGGUUACUUUUUAAUCAGUCUUGC
rnacentral:lncRNA from 1 species